AUAUGAAUUGCUACAUGUGUUAGUGUAUUAUGUGUGUAACAACAGCUUUUUUAUCUUAAUAGAAAAAGAAUAGAAAAUACACGAAUUUUGGUCCUGUUCUAAAUUGGAUAAAGCAAUUUAGAUAAUGGGGGUGGGGAUCAUUUGUUUAGUCAGAGAACAUAAACAAGAGUAAAACAAGUGAGAUUAUGAAACUGGAAUGACUAAAGUGUGAAUUACUACAUUAAAUUUAACAACUAGGAGUUUUGUUGUUAAUUUGGGGGAAUAAAUAUUUUCCAAAUUGUGAUGUUAUUCACCAAAAAAUAUAUAUCCUCUUCACAUAUGUGCUGAAAGAUAACUGUGAGAAGCAAUACAGUCAUGUUUUUAUGAUUUGUGAUUUCAGCUUCAGAAGUUGCUUACCAUGGACCCAAUAAAGCGAAUUACCUCAGAACAGGCUAUGCAGGAUCCCUAUUUCUUAGAAGACCCACUUCCUACAUCAGACGUUUUUGCCGGUUGUCAAAUCCCUUACCCAAAACGAGAAUUUUUAACGGAAGAAGAACCUGAUGACAAAGGAGACAAAAACCAGCAGCAGCAGCAGGGCAAUAACCACACUAAUGGAACUGGCCACCCAGGGAAUCAAGACAGCAGUCACACACAGGGACCCCCGUUGAAGAAAGUGAGAGUUGUUCCUCCUACCACUACCUCAGGUGGACUUAUCAUGACCUCAGACUAUCAGCGUUCCAAUCCACAUGCUGCCUAUCCCAACCCUGGACCAAGCACAUCACAGCCGCAGAGCAGCAUGGGAUACUCAGCUACCUCCCAGCAGCCUCCACAGUACUCACAUCAGACACAUCGGUACUGAGCUGCAUCGGAAUCUUGUCCAUGCACUGUUGCGAAUGCUGCAGGGCUGACUGUGCAGCUCUCCGCGGGAACCUGGUAUGGGCCAUGAGAAUGUACUGUACAACCACAUAUUCAAAAUGUCCAGUAGCCAAGUUCCACCACUUUUCACAGAUUGGGGUAGUGGCUUCCAAGUUGUACCUAUUUUGGAGUUAGACUUGAAAAGAUAGUGCUAGCACAGUUUGUGUUGUGGAUUUGCUACUUCCAUAGUUUACUUGACAUGGUUCAGACUGACCAAUGCAUUUUUUUCAGUGACAGUCUGUAGCAGUUGAAGCUGUGAAUGUGCUAGGGGCAAGCAUUUGUCUUUGUAUGUGGUGAAUUUUUUCAGUGUAACAACAUUAUCUGACCAAUAGUACACACACAGACACAAAGUUUAACUGGUACUUGAAACAUACAGUAUAUGUUAACGAAAUAACCAAGACUCAAAAUGAGAUUAUUUUGGUACACCUUUCUUUUUAGUGUCUUAUCAGUGGGCUGAUUGAUUUUCUACAUUAAUCAGUGUUUUCUGACCAAGAAUAUUGCUUGGAUUUUUUUGAAAGUACAAAAAGCCACAUAGUUUUUCCAGAAAGGUUUCAAAACUCCCAAAGAUUAACUUCCAACUUAUAAGUUUGUUUUUAUUUUCAAUCUAUGACUUGACUGGUAUUAAAGCUGCUAUUUGAUAGUAAUUAAAUAUGUUGUCAUUGAUAUAAACCUGUUUGGUUCAGCAAACAAACUAAAAUGAUUGUCAUAGACAGUGUUUUAUUUUUCCUGUUGGUGUUGCUGAUUUGUGAGCAUGCUUUAAGAUGAAAAAAGCAUGAAUGAUAACUUCCUUAAAAAGGUGCGGCAUCCAAUUCAAAUAUUUUCGUCCUGAUUUUAAAGCUGGUUGGUGUAGUGCUAUUAAAAUUUUGUUCAGUUAAUUUUCCUUUUGAAAACUUGUUCGCACGUUGUUUAGGGUGCCCUUACUUCAGCAAAGGAGAAGGAGUAGGAGAGCCUUAGAAUUUUUGAGGAAAAAAAAACCUAUAACAUACAAUGUACUGUAUCAAACUAUUUUACAUGAAUGACACAAGUAUUCUGAAUAAAAAAUAAUUGAACAUUGUUAAAAACAAGGUGUUAUGUAAUAAAUUUAUUUUUCAUAAAUCAAAA
rnacentral:sRNA from 1 species